rnacentral:rRNA from 1 species
AACGCGAAGAACCUUACCAGGUCUUGACAUCCUUUGACCACUUGAGAGAUCAAGCUUUCCCUUCGGGGACAAAGUGACAGGUGGUGCAUGGUUGUCGUCAGCUCGUGUCGUGAGAUGUUGGGUUAAGUCCCGCAACGAGCGCAACCCCUAUUGUUAGUUGCCAUCAUUAAGUUGGGCACUCUAGCGAGACUGCCGGUGACAAACCGGAGGAAGGUGGGGAUGACGUCAAAUCAUCAUGCCCCUUAUGACCUGGGCUACACACGUGCUACAAUGGGCAGUACAGUGAGUCGCGAGACCGCGAGGUUUAGCUAAUCUCUUAAAACUGCUCUCAGUUCGGAUUGUAGGCUGCAACUCGCCUACAUGAAGCCGGAAUCGCUAGUAAUCGUGGAUCAGCAUGCCACGGUGAAUACGUUCCCGGGCCUUGUACACACCGCUACAGU